GAACCUGCAACCUAUGGACGAUGCUCCAACCAACUGAGCCACCUGGCCUGGGCUAAAUACCUUGCAAAGAAAAGCACAUUAAGAUAUCACUUGACUUUUAAAAAAUAAAGAAAAUGUUCCAUAGAGAUAAAUAUCCCAAAUUCCCACUUCCUACCCCAAAAAAAUUCCGGCUCUAGAAAUUGAUGUUGUCCUCAGUAAUAGACAGACUGAAUAUACAUGAGGGCCUCAUCUGCCUACUGGAUGGAGAAUAGUUUUUGGGUCUUGAAUUAUUUGCAUGCUUGCACAUACCAACACAGAAUGUGGAUUUAAAUCACGAGUGAUUCUUGAAAAAUUAAAGUAAAAUAAUUGCCAAGUAUAUGAAGCCAAGCUUAAGUUGUAUUAUUUACCAUUUGCUGGAGACUGGACAGGGGCUUCAGGAAGUUGUUCCAUCACUCUCUGUGUCAUCUGUGUUCCACUUGUCUUCCAUCCUUGCCUGUAUCUGUCUUAAUUCUCCUCUUGUUUUUAGGACACAGGCCGUGGGAAGUGGCAGCAUGGUGUCCCGUGCGGGAAGCAUCGUGGCCCCGUUCUCCGUUAACCUCUCCAGCAUUUGGAUCUUUAUACCCCAGUUGCUGAUUGGGUGUUUGGCCUUUGUGAGUGGAAUUCUAACAUUCCAACUUCCAGAAACCCUCCGGAAGCCUCUGAUAAGUACUUGGGAGGAGGCUACCACACCGGAUGCAGAAAAAGAGAGUAGUUCAGGCAAAUUGUCUCCCACAACCAGUAACACUGAUGCUGGACAAACCAGAAGUGAUUAAUUCAGGGGGUUCUGGUUUGGCAAAUGACUGUGCUAUGUGUGCUGUCUAGCACCUGAAAAAGUGUUUACUUUACUGCCUUUGUAUUAGAGGAAUACUAUUCUCAUUUCCUGCAUGUCAUUUUUGUCUUU